rnacentral:rRNA from 1 species
UACGGAGGGUGCGAGCGUUGUCCGGAAUCAUUGGGCGUAAAGGGCGCGUAGGUGGCCCGGUCAGCGUGCGGUGAAAGCUCGGGGCUCAACCCCGAGUCGGCCGUGCGAACUGCUGGGCUGGAGCACUGUAGAGGCAGGCGGAAUUCCUGGUGUAGCGGUGAAAUGCGCAGAUAUCAGGAGGAACACCGGUGGCGAAGGCGGAUCUCUGGGCCGAUACUGACGCUGAGGAGCGAAAGCGUGGGGAGCGAACAGG